UUAAGAAAAAAGAAAAGCAAUCGAUGGAGAAGGUCGAUGGAGGAGGUCGACGCACGAUCCGUAGGCCCGGAUCGCACCUUCGGCGAGUGAUAACCGCAGGGGUGGAAUCAUUCGAACUGGGUCAAUCAAUAUAGACACCCUCUCGAGUGCGCGCGUGGGCGAGCGAGCGUCGGGGGACGCCGAGAGACGCGCGGCCAACCCAGCCCGAGGAUGUCCGAGCACCUGACGGUCCUCACGAUCCCGGAAGAUCGCUUCUGCGAGGUGAUCGACCACCUGAGACACAGCUUCUUCGCCGACGAGCCCCUCAACCACGCCGUGGGGCUCUGCCAGAGGGGUGAGCCUCACCCCGACCUGGAGAGACACUGCCUGGCCACCAUGAAGCAGGGCUACUCGAGGAUGAUCCUCAGCGAGGACGGCACGAUAGCGGGCGUGGCCUUGAACGGCACCCUGAGGAAGGGCGAGCGCGAGGAAGCGGGCCGCAAACUCCUGGAGCUCGCCGAUGAAAAGUUCAAGACCAUUUUCGGCCUCCUCUAUAAGGUCAACGAGAAGGUCGAUCUCUUUGAAAAGUACGACGUGCAGGAGAUCCUGGAGUGCCGGAUCUUGAGCGUGGAUUCCCGCUUCCGAGGACGCGGUCUGGCUAACGUCCUUAUGGCGGAUAGCAUCGAGAUCGCGAGAAGAGCCGGCUUCAAGGUACUCCUCGAGGGCGACCUUUUGCACGCUCGAACGUAGAUGUCGAACCUGUUGAGCGAGCUGCAUAUCGCUCGAAAUGUCUUUAACUAUUUCGGACCAUCAGGAACGACUGCUCGUUAUUUGUGCACCUCGAGCCCGGAUUUUCUCAGGGAGUGGAAGCUCACGAAAAUGUGGAAUAUGGACAUUUUGAGUUGCUUCAAUGAUGUACGGAUACCUGUGAACCCUGUGUAAUUUAUUACCUUUUUAGUGGGACAAAGGACAUUCAGCAGACCUGACGAUUUCCUUAUUUGUUUCAGCAUGCAAGUUUGGUUUCAGUGCAUGGGAUGAUAUUUUCGUUUGCAUCGAAUGUGUGUAAUCGUGUUCAAGGCAGACGCAACUGGGAUCUUCUCUCAGAAAGUCUGCGCCAAGCAUGGAUUUGAGAUGGAGGCUGAAAUCCCCUACGCAGAUUUA
rnacentral:misc_RNA from 1 species